rnacentral:rRNA from 1 species
UACGUAGGGUGCGAGCGUUUGUCCGGAAUUACUGGGCGUAAAGAGCUCGUAGGUGGUUUGUCGCGUUGUCCGUGAAAACUCACAGCUUAACUGUGGGCGUGCGGGCGAUACGGGCAGACUGGAGUACUGCAGGGGAGACUGGAAUUCCUGGUGUAGCGGUGGAAUGCGCAGAUAUCAGGAGGAACACCGGUGGCGAAGGCGGGUCUCUGGGCAGUAACUGACGCUGAGGAGCGAAAGCGUGGGGGAGCGAAACAGG